AACGAACGCUGGCGGCAGGCCUACACAUUCAAGUCGAGCGAGGACCUUCGUUCUUGCGGCCGACGGGUGAGUUAAGCCGUGGGAUGUGCCCUUCUUUUCCGAAUAGCCCUUGGAAACUGGGGGUAAUACCGUAUACGCCCCUUUUGGGAAAGAUUUAUCGGAGAAGGAUCAGCCCGCGUUGGAUUAGGUUGUUGGUGGGGUAAUGGCCUACCAAGCCGACGAUCCAUAGCUGGUUUGAGAGGAUGAUCAGCCACACUGGGACUGAGACACGGCCCAGACUCCUACGGGAGGCAGCAGUGGGGAAUCUUAGACAAUGGGGGCAACCCUGAUCUAGCCAUGCCGCGUGAGUGAUGAAGGCCUUAGGGUUGUAAAGCUCUUUCAGCUGGGAAGAUAAUGACGGUACCAGCAGAAGAAGCCCCGGCUAACUCCGUG
rnacentral:rRNA from 1 species